UGCUAAAGGUUCCUCAGCAUGUUUCACUUUACAGCUUAGAUCACAUGGCCUCAAGCAUCUGCUGCAAAGAUCACAUGACCCCGAGCACUGACAGCUGAGGUCACAUGACACUUCUCUCCUGACAGCCGAGGUCAUACAGCUCCCAGACCCUAAUUGCUGCUGCAGAGGUCACGUGACCCCGGGCUGUUCCUCACCUUGAUGCCCUCCAGCCGGGGCAGGUAGCUGUAGGGCCCGCUCCCGUCCUCCCUCCUGAGAAAAUCACCUUACCCAUCUGAAUGGACAGAUGAAGUAGAUCUGAACAUUAAGAUCCAGUAAUCCGUAAUUCACUCCAUCCAUGGUACAGCAACAGUCCAUUCAAAAAAUUGAACUACUUUUCCAACACUUGCCAUCCGGAACAAAGGGAAAGAAGAUAAAGAAAAACAAAAAACUGAAGCUCGACCCUUCUACUGCCCAAGCAAUUCUCAGCAGG